GCAAGGAGCAAGUGGCACGAUCCAGCGAUUAUCUUGAUGGCCAACUGAGCUUUCGCGAGACGCUGAUGGUGCGUCAUCACCUGUUGUUCUGCCGCAACUGCCGGCGCUUCAUGCGGCAGAUGCGCGUGAUGCAGGCAACCCUGAAGGCGCUGCCGGAAAAACCGGAAGAGGGAGUGGAUGCUUUGGCUGAGCGUCUGGCGACGCAGAGGCGCGACGACAGUCCUUGAAAGAGUC
rnacentral:misc_RNA from 1 species